GGGAUUUCUGCCCUCUCUUCUGGUUUCCCACUGAGACCAAUCAAGCAUGGAGCUGCAGGCUGCAGGGCUGGUUGGCACUGGGUCCCUCGCUGAGCUCUUCGCCCUGAGGAUCUGCUCAUUUAAGGUUUCCCUGACUUCACAGAAGCCCCUUUUUUCUUUCCAGAAAUGUAUUAUAUAAUGCAUUAUAACUCUUAGGCUCUUGGAAGCUUUAUUUUGGAGGAAGAAACUGUGCAUUCAGAGAGAAGAAACCUGUGCAAAAACACAAACACUGCUAUAUGGUUCAACUUUACUCUCUGGAAAGUUUAAUCCAGGGAAUUUGCAUAUUAUGGUGAUUUGGUUUAACCUACUUGAGCGCACUGGGCUGAUUGCCACAGAUAGUGAUGCUUCAAAGCUUAAAGGCUGUUGUACCUCUAGUCUCUCUGCUGAGCUCCAGGCUGCUCACCGGCAGUAUUUUUAUCCCUUAAAACUCACCACUGCACUUUCGCUCUGCCAAGUUCUGCUAUACGCUGUCUUUCUUCCCCUGUCGAGAGGACUCAAAGCAGCGUGUGUGAGCUGUAAACAAGUUCCCACCCCCCACCCACAUCGCCACAUACACACACACUCACUACACGCACACACACUGGAGCUGUAUCUGGGCAAAAAGAGCUUUCGAAAACCAUAAGCAUCUGCCUUAUCAUAUGAUUGCUUUUUUUCAGAUGUCACACACUUGAAUCACGGGUUAAAGCGCAGAAGGCUUCCCUUCACACCUAGAGGAAGUUGAGCAGAAACCAGAG